CACGUAGGGGGCGAGCGUUGUCCGGAUUUAUUGGGCGUAAAGAGCUCGUAGGUGGUUUGGUAAGUCGGAUGUGAAAUCUCCAGGCUCAACCUGGAGGGGCCAUUCGAUACUGCCAUGACUAGAGGUCGGUAGGGGAGUGUGGAAUUCCUGGUGGAGCGGUGAAAUGCGCAGAUAUCAGGAGGAACACCCGUAGCGAAGGCGGCACUCUGGGCCGAUUCUGACACUGAGGAGCGAAAGCGUGGGGAGCGAACAGG
rnacentral:rRNA from 1 species